GGGCGGUUGGCUCAGUUGGUUAGAGCGCUUCGUUUACACCGAAGAGGUCGGCAGUUCGAAUCUGUCAUCGCCCA